rnacentral:hammerhead_ribozyme from 1 species
AUCCAGCUAACGAGUCCCAAAUAGGACGUAACACGCGUCAAACUGGAU